CAAACAUCUUUGAGAAAACAAUAUAAUACUUAAGUAUUAACGGAGUUUAGCCCCUCCUCAAAGCCU
rnacentral:tRNA from 1 species